AAGGCUAACGUUGGUGCUGGCAAAAAGAAGUGAGCUGGAGAUUGGAGAACAGCCGAAGGAGUAGAUUCUGCAGUGCGUGUCUGCAGUGACUGCGACUUUGUUCACGAGAGG